UUUGGAAAAAUACCAAGAAAUAGAAGUUGUAGAUAAUUGAAUUAUCUUUCCAACCAUAGGUCGUGGGUUCCCAGGUGACGUCGGGACAAGGAGAUAUGGACGUUUUAAUGCAGAAAGGUUAGUGGGCUAGGCCCAAUCCGAGCCCAACCGGGUUAGGCCCAUUACCCAAGUUUUUAUAAGUGAAAAUUUCGGCCUUCCUCCUCAUUUUAAGACCUGUAACAACCAGAAAAUUCUGGAAAGAGAGAGAGAGGAGCUUUGGAGAGAAGAAAAACUAAUUUUGACCAAAAUCCGAGCCCCGAAUCCCGAAGCCCAUGAAGGGAAAAGUGUUGUACGCUGCGUUGUCUUCAAUUUGAGCUAAAAAUCAACCAAGGAGGAGGGUGAUAACGUGGUGGCUGAAUUCUUAAGAUUUUGGGCGAAACGGGAAUUGAAUUUGGAAAGGCGUAAAGAGCAUACAAGGUACAAACGACAGGUUUGCUGAUCCGCCCGCUUAGGACUUUAUUCUGCUAUUUUGGAGCGCUCCUUUAUCCGGAGCCCAUAUUUUGGUACAGUCUUCUGCUAUCGUAUAUAUGUACAUUAUUCAGGGGUACGACGGGGCCCUGUCCCGUCUUAUGAUUCUGUUAUGUUCUGUAGAGGUCUGUAGACAUACUUGUGUGGGUUCUGUAUAUGUUUUGGAUGAUAUGAUCUGUGACAGCCUUAUCGGCUUCCAUGUACUAUGUCGGUUCAUUUAUGAUAAUUACUAACGCCAA